UUGGAGGGCAAGUCUGGUGCCAGCAGCCGCGGUAAUUCCAGCUCCAAUAGCGCAUAUUAAAGUUGUUGCAGUUAAAAAGCUCGUAGUUGAACUUCGGGAUUAGCAAGUCGGUCGUGCCACUGGUACGUACUGGUCUUGCUGAUUCCUCCCUCUUGACGAGCCGUAAUGCCAUUAAUUUGGUGUUGCGGGGAAUCAGGACUGUUACUUUGAAAAAAUUAGAGUGUUUAAAGCAGGCAUGCGCUUGAAUACAUUAGCAUGGAAUAAUGAAAUAGGACGUUCGAUCUUAUUUCGUUGGUUUCUAGGAUUGACGUAAUGAUUAAUAGGGAUAGUUGGGGGCAUUAGUAUUCAAUUGUCAGAGGUGAAAUUCUUGGAUUUAUUGAAGACUAACUACUGCGAAAGCAUUUGCCAAGGAUGUUUUCAUUAAUCAAGAACGAAAGUUAGGGGAUCGAAGACGAUCAGAUACCGUCGUAGUCUUAACCAUAAACUAUGCCGACUAGGGAUCGGAUGAUGUUGAUUUUUUAAUGACUCAUUCGGCGCCUUACGGGAAAC
rnacentral:rRNA from 1 species